GUGAGUUCAGCGAAUACCCUUCCUGUCAGCACGCUCUGGGAGGCGUGACGUGUGCAAAGCCAGCUGUCGUCGAUCAGGAGUUUAAAAGAAGUGGCUCUUUUUUAAUUUAAUUUGUAUUUAUUUAUUUAUUAUUAUUUUACAAGAGCAGCCACAAGUUAUUGGGAGUGAGCAAGACUUGUGCAGGAUUCGAAAUUGAUGCUCAUUCAUAAAGUCAGAACUCAGUCCAGGCUGCGUAACGUGUCAACAAUUGUAGCGUGUGCUGAAAGAGGAUCGCCAACCCUAUCGAAGCACCAGACUAUCUAAAUGGGACUUUGUUAUGCCAGUCCAUGGUGAACGGUCAACCGGAAGUAAGACAAGGCUUUUGACCGAAAACCGUUACAAAGUACCCCCAGAGGUCUGAAGACUGCUCCGGGUAAGCAACGCUGAAUUCACGGCAGCUUGGUGUGUGUGCGCUCUCURUUAUGAAUUAAAAUCAAUUUAGAAUUAACGCAGGUCGUGUC